UCUUUUGACUUGUCCCAAUACAAGUGAAUUGUGGAAGGUCAAACGAGACUUUUUCUGGUACUGAGAAAGAAAACUGCUAAAUGACUGUGAAAGUAAUGAUGAAAAAAUUCAAAACCAACUUUCUUAUCCAAGUCUUCCCAGCUCAGUUCCAGACACACACUGAAAACAGCCUUCAGGAUGACCCAAAUCUGAGCCACGGAAGGUGAUUGCUCCUGCACCUGCACCAAGGAGUGGUAGAGAUGGUGAAGGCACUGAUAUUUUGGAGUGACGGGGACAGUACUGAAGAGAUUAAAGCUUUAAAUUGCUGGCGCUUAUUCUGUGGAAAAUAAACUGAGCCCUAAAUUCAGAGU